rnacentral:rRNA from 1 species
ACGGGAGGCAGCAGUGGGGAAUAUUGGGCAAUGGGCGAAAGCCUGACCCAGCGACGCCGCGUGAGGGAAGAAGGUCUUCGGAUUGUAAACCUCUUUCAGCAGGGCAGAAGCAAGUGACGGUACCUGCAGAAGAAGUCACGGCUAACUACGUGCCAGCAGCCGCGGUAAUACGUAGGUGGCGAGCGUUAUCCGGGAUUACUGGGUGUAAAGGGUGUGUAGGCGGAGAAGCAAGUCAGGCGUGAAAUUUGUGGGCUCAACCCACAAACUGCGCUUGAAACUGUUUCCCUGAGAGUGGGAGAGGUAAACGGAAUUCCUGGUGUAGUAGUGAAAUGCGUAGAUAUCAGGAGGAACACCGGUGGCGAAGGCGGUUUACUGGACCACAACUGACGCUGAGACACGAAAGCGUGGGGAGCAAACAGGAUUAGAUACCCUGGUA